rnacentral:rRNA from 1 species
GCGGAGGGGUUCCACACGUACCCAUCCCGAACACGACCGUUAAGCCCUCCAGCGCCGAUGGUACUUGGACCGCAGGGUCCUGGGAGAGUAGGACGUUGCCAAGC